GAAAGUCAAUCUUGAUUCUAUCGGAAAUUAAAUGUUAUUCAUUAAGUACAGUAAGCUGUCUACCCGUAAAUAAAUGGGAGUGAGCCCAUCAAAUAGACAUAGAUUCUGGAUCAGAGGACGACUAUUUGCUUUCAAAAUGUCGAGAGUUUCUUCCAAAUUUCAGGAAUAUCUUAAUAGUUAACAUCUGGAUAUUGGGAAUAAACGUAUUUUACAUUCAAUAUUGCAGUUCCGCAUUUCCAUAAGAAACCCCGUCUAAGGAUAGUUCGGUUACUGGUUAUGUGGUAUCUCCUAGUCGUGCACCCUGGACCUAAUCGAUUUUGUUUGUUGUAAACAAACUUAUCUAACCUGCAAAUAGGCAGGCAAAUUAUAAUUAUUUAUCAAUUAAAUUGACCAACUUUUACAGCCAACUAUCGCCUGGCCGGGCCGAACGAAG